rnacentral:rRNA from 1 species
CGUAAACGAUGAGUGCUAGGUGUUGGAGGGUUUCCGCCCUUCAGUGCCGGAGCUAACGCAUUAAGCACUCCGCCUGGGGAGUACGACCGCAAGGUUGAAACUCAAAGGAAUUGACGGGGGCCCGCACAAGCGGUGGAGCAUGUGGUUUAAUUCGAAGCUACGCGAAGAACCUUACCAGGUCUUGACAUCUUGCGCCAACCCUAGAGAUAGGGCGUUUCCUUCGGGAACGCAAUGACAGGUGGUGCAUGGUCGUCGUCAGCUCGUGUCGUGAGAUGUUGGGUUAAGUCCCGCAACGAGCGCAACCCUUGUUACUAGUUGCCAGCAUUAAGUUGGGCACUCUAGUGAGACUGCCGGUGACAAACCGGAGGAAGGUGGGGACGA